AUCCACUUUACUUCCUGAGUUUUCCCGCCUUUGUUAUUGUCUGCCCCAGCCUGGUGUGUUUCACCUG